AUGGCACAGACAAUGGGUAGUCAAUAUAGAGUUUUUCCUGAUGAUGUGGAGUUUUCACCGGAUGAUGUUGACCACCCAGCCACAAUGCAAUCUCAAACUGUUUUUGAUGUGGUUGAUAGUACUGAGAGAUGUGAGUCCUCCGUGGUUAAUCAGGAAGAACCACUCAUAGAUUGGAGCUUGAUUGAGAUAGCUCCUCCCAUAACUGAAGAAGACAAUAUGUGUGAUCCUCUUGGUAUUAACGAUGUCGACAUUCCCAUAACCGAAGAUAAUAUGUGCGAUCUUCUUGGUAUCAACGAUGAGGCGGGCCCUGAGCCACCACCUUCUCCACCUAGUGAGGAAGUUUACAUGACCGAUGAGGAGGACCAUCAGCUUUUCAUUGAGGCUGCCAUUCCCGUGGAUGAUAGUGUGCCACCAGAUGAGGAGAUUGCAUAUGAUAAAGAGAACCCGCAGAUGUAUCUUGGUGCUUUGUUUCCUUCAAUGAAAGAUUUUAGGAUGGCUAUCAGACAAUAUGGAAUUAAAAGGGAGAUCGACAUUUGGGGAUAUAAGACUGAUAAGAAAAGAUAUCUUGGCAAAUGUAGAGCCAAGGGUUGUCCAUGGAGGAUUACAGCCAGAGUGAGGACCGAUGGACAAAACAUAAGGGUUACCAAGAUUUCUGUGAAGCACAAGUGCUCCUCUACCGGUAGGAUAAAAAGCAGCAUGACAUCUCAAGGAUGGGUAGCACAGAGGACCGUACCCCUUAUACAGAGUGACCCUACAAUUGGAUGCAAAGAGCUGUUGGAGAAUUUGCAAGAUACAUAUGGCACUACAAUUGAGUAUCAUACGGUGUGGAAAGGCAAAGAUAUAGCACAAAAAGAGAUUUAUGGUAGCAUGAGGCAAAGUUUUCAAUAUUUGUUUAACUUCAAAGCGGAAGUUGAGAAGAGAUCCCCAGGCAGCAUUGUAGAGGUGGAUAUGAAGAUGGUUAACGGUAUGGUUCGCUUUAACCGAUUCUUUAUGGCUCUUAAACCUUGCAUUGAUGGCUUUAAAGCUGGUUGUAGACCAUAUCUUAGUAUAGACUCAACUGCACUCACCGGUAAAUGGAGAGGUCACUUAGCCGCUUGUACAACAUUAGAUGGGCAUAAUUGGAUGUAUCCUGUAGCAUUUGCAUUCAUUGAUGGUGAAACCGAUGAAAAUUGGACAUGGUUCAUGUCACAACACAACAAGGCAUUAGGUCCUGUUUCCCCUCUAGCUAUAUGCACAGAUGCAUGUAAAGGUUUAGAGAAUGCAGUCCAAAAAAUAUUCCCUUAUGCAGAUCAAAGGGAGUGUUUUAGGCAUCUCAUGGCUAACUUCUCUAAAAAGUUCCAAGGAGAUGUGUUUGGCAGAAUGUGGCCAGCUGCUAGGGCAUAUAGGCCACAAGUUUUUAACUACCACAUGAAUAAAAUCCUAGCAGAAGCACCUGAUGUGCAUGAAUAUCUCUCAAGGUACCACAACUUAAAAUGGAUGAGAUGCAUGUUUGACACCUCCAUUAAAUGUGAUUACAUCAAGAAUAACCUUGCCGAGUCUUUUAAUGGUUGGAUUAAAGAUUACAAAGAUUUGCCACCUGAUGAGCUAGCUGACACUCUUAGAGAGCUAGUCAUGAAACUUCAUGAGAAAAGGAGAAAGAUUGGAAUGAAACUGAAAGGAAAAAUUAUUCCAGCCAUCAUCCAACAGAUUCAUAAUAGGACAAGGGGACUUAAACAUUUGAAAGUUGGGAAAUCUGGAGUUGCAAGUUGUGAGGUGAGGGACACAAGUAAAUACAACUUGCGACAUGUUGUGAAAACUGACCAAAGCGAGUGCACGUGCUUGGAGUGGCAGCACAUAGGGAAGCCUUGUGAGCAUGCACUUGCUUUCUUGCUAGAUAGAAGGAACCCCAGAUGGGAGGAUUAUGUGCAUGACUAUUUCUCUCUGGAGAAGUUUCGGGCAGCAUAUGCUGGAGAGAUUGAGCCAUUGACAGAUAGGUCUCAAUGGCCACAUGUACAAUUUCCAUUUGAUAUGGAGGCUCCAUUAGACAAGAAAAGAGGUGUUGGAAGGCCUAGAAAGAACAGGUACAAGAGCUUCCUCAAAGGUGGAGAUGGUGGUCCUAAAAAGAAGAAAGAGCCAAAACAGCUAGGCAGCAAGAAUAGAUGCAAAAGAUGCCACAUUUUAGGCCACAGGCAGUCCACGUGUCCAUUGAAUGGACCAAAGCCAAGGAAAAGAAAGAAGAGAGCACCAAGAUAUCCAGCUGAUGAUGAUGCCUCGGCACCGGAACCUGAAGUGGCAGCCCAACAACCUGAAGUUGUUGUCACUCCCAAUAGGCACAUGAUCACUAUGCCACAAAGUCUUCAAGGCAGCCCCAUUCCAGUGACAAGAAGGUAA
rnacentral:rRNA from 1 species